GGAGUUAGCCGGUGCUUCUUCUGUGAGUGAUGUCCUUCCUGCCGGCUAUUAACCCGCAGGCCUUCUUCCUCACUGAAAGUGCUUUACAACCCGAAGGCCUUCUUCACACACGCGGCAUGGCUGGAUCAGGGUUGCCCCCAUUGUCCAAUAUUCCCCACUGCUGCCUCCCGUAGGAGUCUGGGCCGUGUCUCAGUCCCAGUGUGGCUGAUCAUCCUCUCAGACCAGCUACGGAUCGUCGCCUUGGUGAGCCGUUACCUCACCAACCAGCUAAUCCGACAUAGGCUCAUCCGAUAGCGCGAGGCCCGAAGGUCCCCCGCUUUCCCCCGUAGGGCCGUAUGCGGUAUUAGCCUGGGUUUCCCCAGGUUAUCCCCCACUACCGGGCAGAUUCCUAUGCAUUACUCACCCGUCCGCCGCUCGCCACCAGGGAGCAAGCUCCCCGUGCUGCCGCUCGACUUGCAUGUGUUAGGCCUGCCGCCAGCGUUCAAUCUGAGCCAUAAUCAAACUCUGA
rnacentral:rRNA from 1 species